rnacentral:misc_RNA from 1 species
CUAUGGUCUUAGCAUCAAGCCUAGUGUUGAUGGUGUUGAGGACAGCUCCUGCCAUGGGAACUGCAAAGUGCAUCUCAUACAUAGCUGGAAUAUUUGGAGCCAGCACCGACACAACAUUGUUUUUGACAAUGUUCAGGGAGCGGAGAGAAGCGGCGAGACGGCGGCUGCGGUGGUACGUUUGCCACCACGUGAAACGAGUACCCUCAUAGAUAACAGAGGUGCGAUUGGCAUAAACCUCAGCAGCUCUCUUCAAGAAGGUUAAAGGCGUAAGAGGAACAUAAUUUGCGUUACAUUUUGGUAGCAAAUCCAUCGUUAAUUAAUUGAAAAGGGAGUGAGGAUGGAUCUAGAAAUCUAGAUGGGUGUGCUUAACGUGGAGGAAAUU